AUUGAACGCUGGCGGCAGGCCUAACACAUGCAAGUCGAGCGGAUGAAGAGAGCUUGCUCUCUGAUUUAGCGGCGGACGGGUGAGUAAUGCCUAGGAAUCUGCCUGGUAGUGGGGGAUAACGUCCGGAAACGGGCGCUAAUACCGCAUACGUCCUACGGGAGAAAGCAGGGGACCUUCGGGCCUUGCGCUAUCAGAUGAGCCUAGGUCGGAUUAGCUAGUUGGUGAGGUAAUGGCUCACCAAGGCUGCGAUCCGUAACUGGUCUGAGAGGAUGAUCAGUCACACUGGAACUGAGACACGGUCCAGACUCCUACGGGAGGCAGCAGUGGGGAAUAUUGGACAAUGGGCGAAAGCCUGAUCCAGCCAUGCCGCGUGUGUGAAGAAGGUCUUCGGAUUGUAAAGCACUUUAAGUUGGGAGGAAGGGCAGUAAGUUAAUACCUUGCUGUUUUGACGUUACCGACAGAAUAAGCACCGGCUAACUUCGUGCCAGCAGCCGCGGUAAGAC
rnacentral:rRNA from 1 species